rnacentral:rRNA from 1 species
UGGGGAAUUUUCCGCAAUGGGCGAAAGCCUGACGGAGCAAUACCGCGUGAGGGAGGAAGGCUCUUGGGUUGUAAACCUCUUUUCUCAGGGAAGAAGAGAUGACGGUACCUGAGGAAUCAGCAUCGGCUAACUCCGUGCCAGCAGCCGCGGUAAUACGGAGGAUGCAAGCGUUAUCCGGAAUGAUUGGGCGUAAAGCGUCCGCAGGUGGCACUUCAAGUCUGCUGUCAAAGCACAGAGCUUAACUCUGGGAAGGCAGUGGAAACUGGAGAGCUAGAGAGCAAUAGGGGUAGAGGGAAUUCCCGGUGUAGCGGUGAAAUGCGUAGAGAUCGGGAAGAACACCAGUGGCGAAAGCGCUCUACUAGGUUGCAUCUGACACUGAGGGACGAAAGCUAGGGGAGCG